UACAGAGGGUGCAAGCGUUAAUCGGAAUUACUGGGCGUAAAGCGUGCGUGGUCGGUUAUCUAAGUCGGAUGUGAAAUCCCCGGGCUCAACCUGGGAAUUGCAUUCGAUACUGGAUAGCUAGAGUUCGGCAGAGGGAAGUGGAAUUUCGGGUGUAGCGGUGAAAUGCGUAGAUAUCCGAAGGAACAUCAGUGGCGAAAGCGACUUCCUGGACCAGAACUGACGAUCAGGCACGAAAGCGUGGGGAGCAAACAGG
rnacentral:rRNA from 1 species